CGUGUCGAUACUCCCUCCAAAGGUCCAACAUCUUCAUCACGAAAGACAAGUCUCUCUGGCCCACCAUCACGUCUUCCUGCCGCUGCAGACGGAGGCACUCGUCUUCUAAAAUAAUCCACAGUAAUAAGUACAAAUGUGGUGGAAUCCCAGCGACAUUCUGCCAUCGUUCAUCCUCCCACGACUCCCUCCUUGAUUUCCUCUUCUUGGGACGACCAGCGGGGAGAGAAUCCCCCUCUGAGGGUCCAGCACUACAUAAAUGUUCAAAUUAUGUAAACUAGAAUUAUGAUGAGUUAGUAAAUUUAAAAAAACCACAUUACCUUUGGACAAGGUUGUGCUCAUCUGCUUCUUGCCCUCGUCCUCCUUGCCAAAGUGCAGCAACCGGACCAUCCCAAACACUAAAAUAAUAAUAAAAUUUGUUAAUGAUUAAAUAAAACAUGUCCCAUCUGAUGGCAUUAAUAAAUUAAAUAUAGGUACUCACUCAA